GGAGGGGUACCGAAGCGGUCAUAACGGGGCGGUCUUGAAAACCGUUAGGGUGAAAACCCACAUGGGUUCGAAUCCCAUCCCCUCCGCCA
rnacentral:tRNA from 1 species